rnacentral:rRNA from 1 species
UAAUGCUAGCCCGCACAACACCAAACCCAACUAUAUUCUAAUAUAAAUUAAAACAUUCACCCUAAUAAAAGUAUAGGAGAUAGAAAUUUUAAUCGGCGCUAUAGAGUGAAGUACCGCAAGGGAAAGAUGAAAGAUUAAUUAAAAGUAAUUAACAGCAAAGCUUACCCCUUGUACCUUUUGCAUAAUGAUUUAACUAGAAUUAUUUGACAAAAAGAAUUUUAGCCAAACAACCCGAAACCAGACGAGCUACCCAAGAGCAGCUAAAGAGCAAACUCGUCUAUGUGGCAAAACAGUGAGAAGACUCUUAGGUAGUGGUGAAAAACCUAUCGAGCCUGGUGAUAGCUGGUUGUCCAGGACAGAAUUUUAGUUCAACUUUAAGCCCUGCCUAAAAAAUUAAUAGCUAAAAUGCAGACUUAAAAUAUAAUCUAAAAGGGUACAGCCUUUUAGAAUUAGGAUACAACCUUAAUUAGAGAGUAAGCCCCAAAAACCCCCAUAGUUGGCCUAAAAGCAGCCAUCAAUUAAGAAAGCGUUCAAGCUCAACGACCUCAUUAAUCCCAAUUCCAAGCAAACAUCUGCGAUCCCCUAACUUAAUACUGGACUAUUCUAUUACAAAAUAGAAGAAAUACUGUUAAUAUGAGUAACAAGAAUUAAUUUCUCCCCGCACAAGCCUAUAUCAGAGCGGAUGCCCCACUGAUAAUUAACAGCAAAAUAAAUACAACACCACAACUAAACCAUUUGUUAAUUCAACUGUUAACCCAACACAGGAGUGCACAAAGGAAAGAUUAAAAGAAGUAAAAGGAACUCGGCAAA